ACUUUAUUACCUCGUUGAUGACCAACGUUUAGGAAAACAUGUACUUUUAAUUCACCCUUGGGUGAAAUCGAAGCGUAGUGUGUACUGAAUGCGUGUUGAUGAUGAUGCAUAUGAAUUGCAACUUACACGUCUUCCAAACCUUUUCAGUACCCUGGCACAUGCUUUGUCCAAUGGACCAUGGAAGGGACUUUACUUGGCUGACGAGGACGCACCUCACCAGUAUCAGAGCAACAGCUGUGGGGUGUUUAUGCUGAUGGUGAGAUGCAUUAUUUUCAGAAAUGAUGACUAGUUUGCAAAACAACUAACUCAUUUGCAUGUUAAUUUCAGUACGCAAUGUAUUCUACCCUCAAAAGCAAUAUGAUUUCAGUGAGGUGAGUUCUUUCUAAUCUCAAUCAGAUGUGUAGCAUGAAAUAUAAGGCUUUUAAUAAUUUAGUCAUCCUUACUGGAGGCUACAAUUAACAUGCAUCAUAGGUCAUACACAUUACUUUGUCUUCAGGUACUGCACUUACGGGAGGAGAUGGCUACAUCUUCACAAUAAUUUACACUGCCAUAGUACACUGCUAAACAGUACUGUAACAUGGAUUUGUAUUGGGCUAUGAAGUCAUUUAAAGCAUAAUUUUACUUUUCAGGGGGACAUGCUCUCUAUCAGGAGGUGGUGGUUUGACAGCUGUUGGAGACCUUUAUGCUUGAAAGGCUAGCCCUGCAGAACUAGCUGGCUCCUUCUCACCCUCUCCAUCUCCCCAUCUCAGUCACACCUUCCAAUCACUAAGCAGUGAAAGCCCUGCAGGACUAGCUGGCACACCAAGCUCACCCUCUCCAUCUCCCCAUCUCAGCCACACGCUCCAAUCUGGCACAACAGAGGACAGGCCAUUCUUACCACCCGAAGUCCUUCAGCAAAUUGUACAAGAGACGCUGAGACUGGACAUGGCGAUGCUUGGCGUGUUCAACAGGGUUUCAAAAACAUUCCAAGAACUUAUCAAGCCUCUCCAUCAUUCCAUAUAUAUAAAUGACAGUUUGGCAGGGGACAUUAAGCUUAAUAAAGACAAUCUCAUAUACAUAACGGUUAGAAAGAUGUACAACAAUGCAGGCUGUGUCAGUGGCCUUGCGCUACGCCUCAAAGGCUUCUCAAAAAAGAAGAAUUGGCCAAGCGCACCCCUGGUACUGAGGCACGUUGCAUAUGCCAGGUUUGUCAUAAAAGAUGUCUGCCUAGCAUAAUGUUCUUUUAUUACUCCUUUUUCGUUUUAUUUGGGACGUCUUUUUUUGCAAUCCCUUUCAUUUGUAAAUGUACAUACUACUGUAGUAAAUGUAUCUGCCCAGAAAUGCUGGUAUUUUAUUACUCCUUUCUUUUUUGUUUUUGUGACAAAUGCUAUACGAUGUAUGUAACAUACAUUUGUGCCUACGAUGUAUGUUGUAAGGUUAAUUGUUACAGAGCAAUUACUGUAUUUUGUCUUUAUUGAAAACAUUCAGUGGGAAAAGUAAGUGAACACUUGGAGUCAAAUGGCCUACUGUUUGAGCCUUCAUAGUGUCUGG